ensembl:lncRNA
GUUAGUUCCAGCACAAGUCAUGGAUGCCGUCAACCGGAGUGCUGUGCCAGGACAACUGCUUACACCAAAUUCCUGUAAGACAUGCACCAAAAUCUUUGACCUUGUGAAAGACCUGCUUUCGGAUGCUGAAGUGCAGGGCACGGCUAAGAGUGACAUGAACGGCGUGUGUGAGGCGCUGCUCAGUCCUGGACCGGUGAAACUCUGCAAGCAGAUAGUGGACAAACACCUCCCCAUGGGCUUCGCCAUCGCUGACACAAGCAUAAAACCAGGCCAUGUUUGUUCUGUUAUUGGGUUCUGUGUUGACGCAGAAGGUGAACGGCCGCGUCUGAUGGCACAACUUCAAACUGCCUUCAAACCACCAUAUUUUGGGGAUACCUUUGGGGCCCAGUGUCUGAUCUGUACCCACUUCAUUGAAACUGUGAAAGGACUCCUGCCCAAAGACGAACUCGAGGACGUUCUUAACCUGGUGCUGGGCCAGGGGUGUAACUUGCUUCCUAACACCCUUAAGGUCGAAUGUGAGAAAUCCAUCAACCUAGCCACCAAGACAGUGAUUGAGCUGGUCAUGUCCUUCAUCUCCCCUGACACCAUCUGCAGCCUCCUCCUCCUCUGCACAGACAGCUCUGUGGAGUUACCCAUCACGGAGGCAGCAUGGAUAUAGUGAAGAUGGUUUCAAAAGGACAACACUUCAGUUUUCAGGCCCUUUCCUUUUCGCAUCCUCCCCUAUGUCAGUGAUGGUGGCAUGGCAUGGAUCUCUACACAAGUGCUGACGUGAUAAUAGUGUGUGGUAUGACUGUCAAACUAGCCCACAGGAGUCCAGCCUCACCCAAUCCUUAGGAGUUCUCCCGAAUGUUUGAGAACCUUUAGUGAAGUACUAUAUAAAACCUAACAAACAGCCCCAUUCCUCCCACUCUUGAUGACCCAAGCUGAAUUAUUUAAUUCCUAGCUUGCAUGAUUCCUGUAAUAAAUUUCACUUGCUA